UUUCCCACACGCUAAUAAACGCUUAAAAAACAACAAUAAUUUUCAUCAUUUGAAUAGUUUGAAAAUGUAUUUGGAAUAGGUUUAACUUAAUGUUUAAGUUCCCUGUUUAAGAAAUAGAAAACAUACGAGUCUUCACAUUUCAUGGGAAUAUCCUGAGUCUGCAUUCACGGCUUCAAUUUUUGAAUUUUGCUGUGUUGGUGUAAUGUACUCAGGUGAAUAAGAUGCUUGUGUGAUGUUACUCUGAGUGUAUAUCCACACCGGGCAGGCCUGAAAAAUAUGCCUGGCCACGGUGGGAUUCGAACCUACGACCUUUGGAAUACUAGCCCAAUGCUUUGCCAACUGAGCUACGCGGUCAGGUCGGUU